UAAGAGUUAGUUUAAUUAGAAUUGUUGACUGUUGAUCAAAAGGUUAACUCUUAA
rnacentral:tRNA from 2 species